rnacentral:rRNA from 1 species
GACGAACGCUGCGGCGUGCUUAACCCAUGCAAGUCGAACGGAAAGGCCCUGCUUUUGUGGGGUGCUCGAGUGGCGAACGGGUGAGUAACACGUGAGUAACCUGGCCUUGGCUUUGGGAUAACUUCAGGAAACUGGGGCUAAUACCGGAUAGGAGCUCCUGCUGCAUGGGGGGGGUUGGAAAGUUUCGGCGGUUGGGGAUGGACUCGCGGCUUAUCAGCUUGUUGGUGGGGUAGUGGCUUACCAAGGCUUUGACGGGUAGCCGGCCUGAGAGGGUGACCGGCCACAUUGGGACUGAGAUACGGCCCAGACUCCCACGGGAGGCAGCAGUGGGGAAUAUUGCACAAUGGGCGGAAGCCCGAUGCAGCAACGCCGCGUGCGGGAUGACGGCCUUCGGGUUGUAAACCGCUUUCGCCUGUGACGAAGCGUGAGUGACGGUAAUGGGUAAAGAAGCACCGGCCAACUACGUG